ensembl:lncRNA
GCAAGGCUUCAAGGUCAUCUGCCUUCUGUCGUAAUCAUCUGACAGGAUGGCUACAUCCUUUAUCAGAUUCUGGUUUGUAGCUGAGAAAGCAUUGUGCUUCCUGAUGACAGUUCUUGCCAUGAAGCCUCACCAUAUUCCAGCCCCUGCCUGAACAGUGGAGAUUGGUGCCCAGUCUGCUGAGUCCAAACCAUCAGCUAGUCUGAGGUUAUGCCAAGUGCCUCUGCUGGAGGAGCUCUCACAAUAGGAAACAACCUCAUUCUUCUCAAAGAGAGCAAAAUACAAUUUGGUGCAAGAGAAAUUCAAGAUGGAAGCAGAUCUCCGGUUCAGUCUAACUGUCUGCAUAAUGCACACCUAUCUUCUGUAUUUCACUGAUGCUCUCCUAACAGAAGCUGUAAGCUCUAUGCAUAAGCAUAUCAUCAGGUCUUUCCCAGGUCUAUUUGCAACUGUGGUUGUCAUUCUGUUUCAGCAACUUACC